rnacentral:rRNA from 1 species
UACGAAGGGUGCAAACGUUGCUCGGAAUUAUUGGGCGUAAAGCGCGCGUAGGCGGCUACUUAAGUCGGAUGUGAAAGCCCUUGGCUCAACUGAGGAAGUGCACCCGAAACUGAGUGGCUAGAGUACGAAAGAGGGUCGCGGAAUUCCCGGUGUAGAGGUGAAAUUCGUAGAUAUCGGGAGGAACACCGGUGGCGAAGGCGGCGACCUGGGUCGAUACUGACGCUGAUGCGCGAAAGCGUGGGGAGCAAACAGG